rnacentral:rRNA from 1 species
UGGGGAAUUUUGGACAAUGGGCGAAAGCCUGAUCCAGCAAUGCCGCGUGUGUGAAGAAGGCCUUCGGGUUGUAAAGCACUUUUGUCCGGAAAGAAAUCCUUGGCUCUAAUACAGUCGGGGGAUGACGGUACCGGAAGAAUAAGCACCGGCUAACUACGUGCCAGCAGCCGCGGUAAUACGUAGGGUGCAAGCGUUAAUCGGAAUUACUGGGCGUAAAGCGUGCGCAGGCGGUUUGCUAAGACCGAUGUGAAAUCCCCGGGCUCAACCUGGGAACUGCAUUGGUGACUGGCAGGCUAGAGUAUGGCAGAGGGGGGUAGAAUUCCACGUGUGGCAGUGAAAUGCGUGGAGAUGUGGAGGAAUACCGAUGGCGAAGGCAGCCCCCUGGGCCAAUACUGACGCUCAUGCACGAAAGCGUGGGGAGCAAACAGGAUUAGAUACCCUGGUAGUCCACGCCCUAAACGAUGUCAACUAGUUGUUGGGGAUUCAUUUCCUUAGUAACGUAGCUAACGCGCGAAGUUGACCGCCUGGGGAGUACGGUCGCAAGAUUAAAACUCAAAUGAAUUGACGGGGUCAUAGCUGUUUCCU